UGGCAGGCGUCGGCGGUCACUGGCCAGGCGUGGGCGCGCGCGGGGCUGCCGCGGGCACUGAGAGUCGGCUGAGUAGCCUGAGCCCGGAGCACCUCGGCUGCCGCCUCGCGCCCUGCGUCCUUCCAUCCGCCCUGACCCAGCCAUGCCCGCGGUGGACAAGCUCCUGCUGGAGGAGGCGUUGCAGGACAGCCCCCAGACUCGCUCUUUACUGAGUGUGUUUGAAGAAGAUGCCGGCACCCUCACCGACUACACCAACCAGCUGCUGCAGGCCAUGCAGCGCGUCUUCGGAGCCCAGAAUGAAAUGUGUUUGGCCACCCAACAACUUUCCAAGCAGCUGCUGGCGUAUGAAAAGCAGAAUUUCGCUCUUGGCAAAGGUGAUGAAGAGGUAAUUUCUACACUCCAUUAUUUUUCUGAAGUGGUGGAUAAGCUUAAUGUCCUCCAUACAGAGCUGGCCAAACAGCUGGCAGACGCCAUGGUCCUACCUAUUGUACAAUUUCGAGAAAAGGAUCUCACAGAAGUAAGCACUUUGAAGGAACUUUUCGGACUCGCCAGCAGUGAGCAUGACCUCUCAAUGGCAAAAUACAGCAGGCUCCCUAAAAAAAAGGAGAAUGAAAAGGUAAAGACUGAAGUUGUGAAGGAGGUGGCAGCUGCACGGCGGAAGCAGCACCUGGCGUCCCUCCAGUACUACUCCGCCCUCAAUGCACUGCAGUACCGGAAGCGGAUGGCCAUGAUGGAGCCCAUGAUAGGCUUCGCCCAUGGACAGAUUAACUUUUUUAAGAAGGGAGCAGAGAUGUUUUCCAAAAGCAUGGACAGCUUUCUAUCCUCUGUUGCAGACAUGGUUCAGAGCAUUCAGGUGGAACUGGAAGCUGAAGCAGAAAAGAUGCGGAUAUCUCAGCAAGAAUUGCUAUCUGUUGAUGAAUCUGUCUACACGCCAGACUUCGAUGUGGCUGCACCCCAGGUCAACAGGAACCUCAUCCAGAAGGCUGGUUACCUUAACCUUAGAAACAAGACGGGGCUGGUCACCACCACCUGGGAGAGACUUUACUUCUUCACCCAAGGCGGGAAUCUCAUGUGUCAGCCCAGGGGAGCUGUGGCUGGAGGUCUGAUCCAGGACCUGGACAACUGCUCAGUGAUGGCGGUGGAUUGCGAAGACCGACGAUACUGCUUCCAGAUCACCACUCCCAGCGGAAAACCGGGAAUAAUCCUCCAGGCAGAGAGCAGAAAAGAAAAUGAAGAGUGGAUAUGUGCAAUAAACAACAUCUCCAGACAGAUCUACCUGACCGACAACCCUGAGGCAGUCGCCAUCAAGUUGAAUCAGACGGCUCUCCAGGCUGUGACUCCAUUUACAAGUUUUGGGAAAAAACAAGAAAGCUCCUGCCUCAGCCAGAACUUGAAAAAUUCAGAAACAGAAAAUGACAAGAUUGUUCCCAAAGCAAAAGUCAGUAUUCCUGAAGCAGAAGAACUGAUCGCACCUGGGACGCCUAUUCAGUUUGAUAUUGUACUUCCUGCCACAGAAUUCCUGGAUCAGAACAGAGGGAGCAGGCGGAUCAACCCUUUUGGUGAAACUGAAGAUGAGUCAUUUCCGGAAGCAGAAGAUUCUCUUUUGCAACAGAUGUUUAUAGUUCGUUUUUUGGGGUCAAUGGCAGUUAAAACAGACAGCACUACCGAAGUGAUCUAUGAAGCAAUGAGACAAGUGUUAGCAGCUCGGGCUAUUCAUAACAUCUUCCGAAUGACAGAGUCUCAUCUGAUGGUCACCAGUCAAACUCUGAGGUUGAUAGAUCCUCAGACUCAGGUGUCAAGGGCCAACUUUGAACUUACCAGUGUCACACAGUUUGCUGCUCAUCAAGAAAACAAAAGACUGGUUGGCUUUGUCAUCCGAAUUCCAGAGUCCACAGGAGAAGAGUCUCUCAGCACGUACAUUUUUGAAAGCAACUCAGAAGGCGAAAAGAUAUGUUAUGCUAUUAAUUUGGGAAAAGAAAUUAUUGAGGUUCAAAAGGAUCCAGAAGCACUGGCUCAAUUAAUGCUGUCUAUACCACUAACCAAUGAUGGAAAAUAUGUACUGUUAAAUGAUCAAUCAGAUGACAAUGAUGGAAAUCCAAGUGAAAAUAGAAGCGCAGAAUCUGAAGCGUGACUCACUGGGGCCUGUGGGGGAAGCGCGCACAGGAAGGAAAGCUACCUCCUUAAGGGUUUUCAACUUCUCUGAUGUAUAGGCACACUGACCUGGCUUCAGAAUGCUGACAAUCGUUUGUGGAAUGUGCCCUUUGAUGCCUUGAUACUGAGACUUGGGAGGGAAACAGUUAAGAAAAGGGUGACAGCCUUCCUACCCAUCUACAAAUGUUAUUUUAGGUGCCUUGUGGUUCUGAAUAUACUCACUAGAGGAGGAACAAUGAUAUAGAAAUUUCGGAGAUGUAUAUUCUUUGGCCUUCGAAAUUCUGGAGCAAAAACAUCUACAAGCAUUUUGAAAUAUUCUGUGCCUUCAGCAGAAUUUCGUGUAUGAUCACUGAGGACCGAGUCCAAAUGCCUAAAAACCAAACAAACAAAAAUGUGUUUCCUCUUUUAAAUAAGGUGUGGCCUUUAAAAAACAGUGUGUGCUUUUAGAUAAAAGCACUCAUAAGCAGGAAACAUUAUACAAUUUCUAUAUAAGUUUUCUUGGAGUUCACAAUGAAAUAAUUUUCUUAUGGACAGAAACUAAUUAGAAUCAUCUAGUUAACUUAAUUAUUAAAACAGAAUAGAGCAUCCGGGGACUUAAAAUGAUAAGGUUCUGUAUUUCUUUUCCCCACAAUGAGCCCUGUACAACAUCUCAUUGUAAGUAAAGUCUUCAUUUUAAGUCUCUUCACUAGUCCUUCCUCUACAUCUCCUUACCUCAACUUAAACCUGGCCUUCUUUCAAGAAGCUUUUCUUUCAAUCUUCAGAAAUAUUAGCUGCUUUUCCUCCUGAAAUCCUCAUGUAUACUACUUCUACAUGUUAUUCCUCCACCAGAGGAAGGCAGAAAUCUCUCCUUUAAUCCAACUACAUGAUCCAACUACAGAUGCUCCUCAACCUACAAUGGGUUUGCAUCCUGAUAAAUCCACAGUAAAUUGAAAAUAAAAUAAAAUAAAAAUGUGUGUACACACGUAGCCAACUGAACAUGACAGCCUAGCAAUGCAGUAUACUGGAGUAUAUCAGUUGUUUCGCUUUCUGAUUGUGAGGCUGACAGGGAGCUAUAACUCACUGUUCUGCUCUGAAUCGCACAAGAAGUUCAUAAUGCAAAUUGCUAGCCCAAAAAGAGAUCCAAAUCCAAGACAUACAGGAGCUAGGGAUGCAGUUUAGUGGUAAAGUACUUGCCUUGAAAGCACCAGGUACUAGCAAGCACCAGCCCUAAGCUUGAUCUCAGCACCACAAAAACAUAAAUCAAAAUAAUCAAAGUAUAAUUUCUACUGAAUGCUUUAUCAUUUUCACACCAUCCUAAAAUUGAAAAAAGAGUAAAGUUGAAAGUAAAAUAAAAUGGUAAGUUGAGCCAUUAUAAAUCAGUGGUCAUCUGUAUAUUCAUCUACUCUUUUGGAAAGCAAGCAUCUACCAACUUUUAGCCCCUACCCUAACCUAGGACUAGGAUGCCUUCCCCAGUUCUCUACUGUUUAUGUGGAUAAUUUACUCAUUACCAUGACCCCACAACUCUUGGAUUUCAUCUGCCAUGACAUUUCUUCACUUACUAUUAACCAUUCUCUCCCUUGCACAAAUGUGGAUCUUUCAGUUAGCAAUCAGCUUUACCCUAGAUAUCUUAAAAACCAAUAUCCUACUGUAACUUCCUUUGGCUUCUUCAAAGUAUUUUUUAAACAGUCCCCAAUUUUGAAGAAAAUGAUGACAUUUAAGAGGAGAUAAAUGGUGCAAUUUUCUUUCUUUGGUAUGCAAGCCGCAACCAUUUUAAUCAUUUUCAUGACUUCAAAUGACUUUAAUACCUGUCUUCUGAAAUCUAGUAAAGCACACUAUGCUAUCCAGUAGGAUACUGCAGAACAAAGCUUCUGUGUUCAGGUCAUGUUUUCAUUAAAAUGUACACAUAUAUUUUCUGGUAUAUUUUAAUAUUUUUAUUUUUAAAAAUAUCAAGCCUAUAAAAAAAUUAAAAUAUAGUAUAAUGAACCCUGAAUGCCCUUAAUUAGAUUCACACUUCUUCACAAUUUGCUAGUUUUCUCUAUUUUUCAGAAACAUUUCAAAAUUGCAAACCUCAUGUCACUUAGCACAUAAAUACUUCAGCAUUACUCUAUUAGAAUAAAGACAUUUCCCUAGAAAGCCACAUCAGUACACCCAAGAAUAAAAUAUAACAUUAUCUAAUACACAACCCAUUUUUCAAAUCUCCCCAAUCAUUCCCCAAAUGUCCUUUAUAGAUAAAUGUUUUCUUUACCUGGAUUAUGAUUAAGGACAACCCCAUUACAUUUGGUUAUCAGGUCUCUUUAUUCUCCUAAUCUAGACAGCCUCUUUGCCUUUUUGGUCUUUCAUGACAUCUGACAUUUUUUAAGAGUCUAGGCCAGGUAUUUCACAGAACGCCCCACAUUCUGGAUUUCUCACAUUGCUUCUUCCUAAUAAAUUCAGAGAAACACUCCUAGGAAGAAUAUAAACUAGGUGCUUUUCAUUACAUUACAUCAGGAGGCCAUAUAAUAUCAGUCUGUCCCAUUACCAAUGUGCUGUUUUAUCACUUGAUUAACGUUGUAGACAUCUCUUCUACAUUGCAGAUAGCUUUUCCCUGUGUGAUUAAUAAGCAAUUUUGUGGGAUGAUUUUUGAAAAUGAGUUCUCUGGUUUCCAAAAACUUUUCACCCAACAUUUAAGUGUUAUAAUUGCAAAAUGUGAUGUUUUUUCCCCUUAAUUUUCUCAUCUGCUUUAUGUUAGCUGCCAUUCUUUUGUUAAAAGAAAAAAACAACUCUGUUUUAACCUUUCUUAUUAUCACUGUAACUCAUAGUUUUUUUUAUUCAAUGUUUUAUGACCUAUUUCUAUCAUUACUCUUUUUUUUUUAAGCUGUAGAUGGACACAAUACUUUUAUUUUGUUUAUUUUUAUGUGGUGCCAGGGAUGGAACCCAGUGCCUUACGCGUGGCGAGGUAAGCGCUCUACCAAUGAGCUGCAACCCCAGCUCCCCAUUACUCUUUUUGACAUUCAAACUGUCUCCACUUUGUUCAGAGUGCCCCUUCAUAUCUGUUUCAAUAAAGUGCUAUAAAUAUUAAAAAUAAAAUCUAUAAUUUUCUAAACAAA